rnacentral:piRNA from 1 species
CUGAAGAAGCUGCUGUUACUAUGGU